CAGCGCAGUUUGUCCAUCCACCGGUAAAGAUGAUGGGUUCUGUUGCCCAAUCUCUUCAUCUUGCCGUAAAGAUGAUGGGUUUUGUUGC
rnacentral:misc_RNA from 1 species